rnacentral:rRNA from 1 species
UACGUAGGGUGCGAGCGUCAAUCGGAAUUACUGGGCGUAAAGCGUGCGCAGGCGGUUUUGUAAGUCAGAUGUGAAAUCCCCGGGCUUAACCUGGGAACUGCGUUUGAAACUACAAGGCUAGAGUGUGGCAGAGGGGGGUGGAAUUCCACGUGUAGCAGUGAAAUGCGUAGAGAUGUGGAGGAACACCGAUGGCGAAGGCAGCCCCCUGGGUUAACACUGACGCUCAGGCACGAAAGCGUGGGGAGCAAACAGG